UGCGUGUCGAUCUGGGGGACAGUUUAAUAAACUGCCACACAACACAGCUGAGCUCCACACAGCCACAUGAGGAUGGGGACAGCCAUUCCUUGGGUUUCUGAAUAACGUAUCAAGUGAGCAGUGAAUUUCAAUCAAGCUUGUACAUCAGGACCGUCUUGCCAAAACAACAGUUGCUUUUGGCUGCUGGAAGCUGUAGCUUUUCAAAACGUUCACACAUUUCAAUGUAUCGUCGAUGUUUUUAAAUAGACUUACAGGGAGGGUGGCACACAGCAAAGGCCCGCAGGGACAAAGGAGGAGACAUAGCCACCAGCUUCCAGGCCAUCCAGGGCCCCGGGUCGCCUUGGGAUCCGGACCCGGUACAGGCCAUUCAGGGCU
rnacentral:lncRNA from 1 species